rfam:Schistosoma rodhaini strain Burundi genome assembly, scaffold: SROB_scaffold0011687
AUCCAGCUGACGAGUCCCAAAUAGGACGAAAUGCGCGUCCUGAAU